CAGAGCUCUGCCAGAAGGACUCAGCAGGUUAAGAGUCGCAAUACUGGCAUUCUCUAAUUUAUUAAAACAAGCCUCUGAGUAGCUUAGUGGCUUCUGCCUUCAUAGGCCCCAGAUGAGACCACCCUAAAGGAGCUGGCCGAGACCCUGCAACAGAAGAACAUUGACCACAUGCUGUGGCUUGAGCAACCAGAGAAUAUCGCCACUUGUAUUGCUCUCCGGCCCUACCCCAAGGAAGAAGUGGGCCAGUAUUUGAAGAAGUUCCGAUUGUUCAAAUAACUGCUGCUUUGAUGUGUUUGAAUACCAGCUGGAUCUGGAAACAGCAGGCCACCCAUUCCAAAGCAUCAUGUGUUCCUUGCAGUGUCAGCUUGCUCCCGUCUUUCAGUUGUGACAAUUUCUUGAGGGUUAAGCACAUGUUCAUAUUAAAGUUGUCAUUAAUAACUAC
rnacentral:sRNA from 1 species